rnacentral:rRNA from 1 species
GACGAACGCUGGCGGCGUGCUUAACACAUGCAAGUCGAACGGAAAGGCCCUGCUUUUGUGGGGUGCUCGAGUGGCGAACGGGUGAGUAACACGUGAGUAACCUGCCCUUGACUUUGGGAUAACUUCAGGAAACUGGGGCUAAUACCGGAUAGGAGCUCCUGCUGCAUGGUGGGGGUUGGAAAGUUUCGGCGGUUGGGGAUGGACUCGCGGCUUAUCAGCUUGUUGGUGGGGUAGUGGCUUACCAAGGCUUUGACGGGUAGCCGGCCUGAGAGGGUGACCGGCCACAUUGGGACUGAGAUACAGCCCAGACUCCUACGGGAGGCAGCAGUGGGGAAUAAUGCACAAUGGGCGGAAGCCUGAUGCAGCAACGCCGCGUGCGGGAUGACGGCCUUCGGGUUGUAAACCGCUUUCGCCUGUGACGAAGCGUGAGUGACGGUAAUGGGUAAAGAAGCACCGGCUAACUACGUG